rnacentral:rRNA from 1 species
CUAGCUUGCUAGUUGGCGUCGAGUGGCGGACGGGUGAGUAACGCGUAGGAAUCUACCUAGUAGUGGGGGAUAGCCCGAAGAAAUUCGGAUUAAUACCGCAUAAUCUAUUCGUAGUAAAGUGGGGGACUUUCGAGCCUCACGCUAUUAGAUGAGCCUGCGUAAGAUUAGCUUGUUGGUAGGGUAAAAGCCUACCAAGGCUACGAUCUUUAGCUGGUCUGAGAGGAUGAUCAGCCACAUCGGGACUGAGACACGGCCCGAACUCCUACGGGAGGCAGCAGUGGGGAAUAUUGGACAAUGGGGGCAACCCUGAUCCAGCAAUACCGCGUGUGUGAAGAAGGCCUGAGGGUUGUAAAGCACUUUCAAUUGUGAAGAAAAGUUAACGGUUAAUAACCGUUAGCCUUGACGUUAACUUUAGAAGAAGCACCGGCUAACUCCGUGCCAGCAGCCGCGGUAAUACGGAGGGUGCAAGCGUUAAUCGGAAUUACUGGGCGUAAAGCGUGCGUAGGCGGUUUAUUAAGUCAGAUGUGAAAGCCCCGGGCUUAACCUGGGAACUGCAUUUGAAACUGGUAAACUAGAGUAUGGUA